rnacentral:SRP_RNA from 1 species
UUUUAUCACACGUAAGAGCAUGGAGUUUAUUUUUAUGGAAACUGCCAUGGCUGCCCUUUAUAAGUGGCGUUGACGGAUGGGUCUUACGCAAUAGAAAUCUGCGAACCGUGUCAGGUUGGGAACAAAGCAGCACUAAGCAGAAUCUUCUAUGUGCCGUGAGGGCGCCUGUCCCAAGUUAACUGUAAAGGUAACGCAUGGCAGUUUCCCUAAGGAUAAAA